GACGAGGGGUCCAAGCGUUGUUCGGAAUCAUUGGGCGUAAAGCGGGUGUAGGCGGCUCUAUAAGUCAGAAGUGAAAGCCCCGGGCUUAACCUGGGAAGUGCUUUUGAUACUGCAGAGCUUGAAUGUGGAAGAGGGUAGUGGAAUUCCAGGUGUAGUGGUGAAAUACGUAGAUAUCUGGAGGAACACCGGUGGCGAAGGCGGCUACCUGGCCCAACAUUGACGCUGAGACCCGAAAGCAUGGGGAUCAAACAGG
rnacentral:rRNA from 1 species